rnacentral:tRNA from 1 species
AAUAAGAUGGCUGAGUGUUUAGGCGGCGGAUUGUAAAUCCGAAAACAUAGGUUAAAUUCCUUUUCUUAUUA